GGCGUGCCUAAUACAUGCAAGUCGAACGAGUUCUGAUUAUUGAAGGGUGCUUGCAUCUUGAUUUAAUUUUGAACGAGUGGCGGACGGGUGAGUAACACGUGGGUAACCUGCCCUUAAGUGGGGGAUAACAUUUGGAAACAGAUGCUAAUACCGCAUAAAUCCAAGAACCGCAUGGUUCUUGGCUGAAAGAUGGCGUAAGCUAUCGCUUUUGGAUGGACCCGCGGCGUAUUAGCUAGUUGGUGAGGUAACGGCUCACCAAGGCAAUGAUACGUAGCCGAACUGAGAGGUUGAUCGGCCACAUUGGGACUGAGACACGGCCCAAACUCCUACGGGAGGCAGCAGUAGGGAAUCUUCCACAAUGGACGCAAGUCUGAUGGAGCAACGCCGCGUGAGUGAAGAAGGCUUUCGGGUCGUAAAACUCUGUUGUUGGAGAAGAAUGGUCGGCAGAGUAACUGUUGUCGGCGUGACGGUAUCCAACCAGAAAGCCACGGCUAACUACGUGCCAGCAGCCGCGGUAAUACGUAGGUGGCAAGCGUUAUCCGGAUUUAUUGGGCGUAAAGCGAGCGCAGGCGGUUUUUUAAGUCUGAUGUGAAAGCCCUCGGCUUAACCGAGGAAGUGCAUCGGAAACUGGGAAACUUGAGUGCAGAAGAGGACAGUGGAACUCCAUGUGUAGCGGUGAAAUGCGUAGAUAUAUGGAAGAACACCAGUGGCGAAGGCGGCUGUCUGGUCUGUAACUGACGCUGAGGCUCGAAAGCAUGGGUAGCGAACAGGAUUAGAUACCCUGGUAGUCCAUGCCGUAAACGAUGAAUGCUAGGUGUUGGAGGGUUUCCGCCCUUCAGUGCCGCAGCUAACGCAUUAAGCAUUCCGCCUGGGGAGUACGACCGCAAGGUUGAAACUCAAAGGAAUUGACGGGGGCCCGCACAAGCGGUGGAGCAUGUGGUUUAAUUCGAAGCAACGCGAAGAACCUUACCAGGUCUUGACAUCUUUUGAUCACCUGAGAGAUCAGGUUUCCCCUUCGGGGGCAAAAUGACAGGUGGUGCAUGGUUGUCGUCAGCUCGUGUCGUGAGAUGUUGGGUUAAGUCCCGCAACGAGCGCAACCCUUAUGACUAGUUGCCAGCAUUUAGUUGGGCACUCUAGUAAGACUGCCGGUGACAAACCGGAGGAAGGUGGGGAUGACGUCAAAUCAUCAUGCCCCUUAUGACCUGGGCUACACACGUGCUACAAUGGAUGGUACAACGAGUUGCGAGACCGCGAGGUCAAGCUAAUCUCUUAAAGCCAUUCUCAGUUCGGACUGUAGGCUGCAACUCGCCUACACGAAGUCGGAAUCGCUAGUAAUCGCGGAUCAGCACGCCGCGGUGAAUACGUUCCCGGGCCUUGUACACACCGCCCGUCACACCAUGAGAGUUUGUAACACCCGAAGCCGGUGGCGUAACCCUUUUAGGGAGCGAGCCGUCUAAGGUGGGACAAA
rnacentral:rRNA from 1 species